GACGAACGCUAGCGGCGUGCCUAAGCUAUGCAAGUCGAGCGGGGUUUCAGAGUCGAGUUUCCUUCGGGAGACAAAGCACUGAAACCUAGCGGCGAACGGGUGAGUAACACGUGAGCAACCUACCCUGUUGUCCGGGAUAACAGACGGAAAGGCCUGCUAAUACCGGAUACGAAGCUCCUUCGCAUAUUGGAGCUUGGAAAGGGGCAACCCGCAAUGGGAGGGGCUUACGGCCUAUCAGCUAGUUGGUGAGGUAACGGCCCACCAAGGCGACGACGGGUAGCCGACCUGAGAGGGUGACCGGCCACACUGGGACUGAGACACGGCCCAGACUCCUACGGGAGGCAGCAAGCGGGAAUCUUGCACAAUGGGCGCAAGCCUGAUGCAGCGACGCCGCGUGAGGGAUGAAGGCCUUCGGGUCGUAAACCUCUGUUGAUGGGGACGAAGAUC
rnacentral:rRNA from 1 species